rnacentral:rRNA from 1 species
AGACCGGAGGAAGGUGGGGAUGACGUCAAGUCAUCAUGGCCCUUAUGACCAGGGCUACACACGUGCUACAAUGGUCGGUACAGAGGGUCGCCAACCCGCGAGGGGGAGCCAAUCCCUUAAAACCGAUCGUAGUCCGGAUCGCAGUCUGCAACUCGACUGCGUGAAGUCGGAAUCGCUAGUAAUCGCGAAUCAGCCAUGUCGCGGUGAAUACGCUCCCGGGUCUUGUACACACCGCCCGUCACACCAUGGAAGUUGAUUGCACCAGAAGUAGGUAGCCUAACCGCAAGGAGGGCGCUUACCACGGUGUGCUCAAUGACUGGGGUG